rnacentral:rRNA from 1 species
GAUGAACGCUGGCGGCGUGCCUAAUACAUGCAAGUCGAGCGAACAGACGAGGAGCUUGCUCCUCUGACGUUAGCGGCGGACGGGUGAGUAACACGUGGAUAACCUACCUAUAAGACUGGGAUAACUUCGGGAAACCGGAGCUAAUACCGGAUAAUAUAUUGAACCGCAUGGUUCAAUAGUGAAAGACGGUUUUGCUGUCACUUAUAGAUGGAUCCGCGCCGCAUUAGCUAGUUGGUAAGGUAACGGCUUACCAAGGCAACGAUGCGUAGCCGACCUGAGAGGGUGAUCGGCCCCACUGGGAAUGAGACACGGUCCAGGCUCCUACGGGAAGGCGCAGUAGGGAAUCUUACGCAAAGGGCGAAAGCUUGACGGGGCAACGCCGGGUGAGUGAUGAAGGUCUUCGGAUCGUAAAACUCUGUUAUUAGGGGAGAACAAAUGUGUAAGUAACUAUGCACGUCUUGACGGUACCUAAUCAGAAAGCCACCGCUAACUACGUG